AUGAUAUAUUUUCAUGUCAGUGGCUUUAAGAUAAGGAAAAGACUUUAGUGAAAAAUGAAACUUCUGAUGAAUAACUUGUAGGACGUUGAAUAAUAUACAAAUAUUUCUUUCUCCUCUGUCAGAGAGCUUCCAAAUUCUGCUGGGUUGUCAGCCUUGCCACAGCCCUCCUUUUAAAAGGAGCACAAUUUGGGAGGAACAAAGAAAAGAAACCUGGGCAUUUGGGGAAGGAGGAGGGAAGGGGGAGGGAGGGCCAGGAGAAAGAAGAGGAGGGGAAAAAAGAAUCUCAGCAUGCCAUAAUUGAAAGAUCCUAAAAGACGCAGGAAAAUUGGCACAUUGUUGAUAAUAACCAUAAUAACAGAGUUAAUGAUAGGCUCCCGGAAGGACCUUGCUUGGUCUUGGAUUUGUUACAAAGAAAAAGAGACGUUCAGCUGGCAGGCAUGGCUGCGUUCAGCAACGCAACAUUCGUCCUCCCACAGCCACCAGCCACGUUGCCAGCCGGGCCACUUGUCUCUUUCACCAUCCCAGCCCUCAUGUUGCCUUUACAAAAUUCCUGGUAUCUUGGCUCUUCUCUGAGAUUCAACAAAAGAACAGAACCAAGGAGAAAAUUGAAGUGGUGGGAAGUGAGAGACUCCCCCAAGACCACCCAGAGAGUAAAGGCAGAAAGAAACUGGAAUUGAACCCAGCUCACCAGGCCAUGCCUUCUUCAAGCUGAGUUCUUCACAGUUCUCUCAGGAUCUCUCACCAUGUUUGAUCACCACUUAAAACCUUAAUUGGCAUUGUCUGGUUCCAACUUUUGUGAAAAACAAUGGCAAAUUACUUACUGAGGGGACGUUGUCAGAAAAAUUGCUCAACAAAGAUUUUUCUACUUUUGUGAAAAGAAUAAGACAAAAGUAGCAGAGAGCAUAUAAGAACCAUUUCUUUUGCCAAGAAUCUUGAAUAAUGAUUUCCUGUAUCUUUAAUACUCAUUGUGAAGAACCUAUGUAAUUAGUUUCUUUUUCCAUUUCUAAAGACCAAUAAACCAUUCUCUAGCAGAUAUUAUACUACCA